rnacentral:rRNA from 1 species
AGCAGCCGCGGUAAUUCCAGCUCCAAUAGCGUAUAUUAAAGUUGUUGCAGUUAAAAAGCUCGUAGUUGAAUUUCGGGGUCAAUACGUCGGUCGUGCCUCGGUACGCACUAACGUUAUUGAUUCCUCCCUUCUGACGAACCGUGAUGUCAUUAAUUUGGUGUUGCGGGGAAUCAGGACUGUUACCUUGAAAAAAUUAGAGUGUUUAAAGCAGGCAAUCACUCGAAUACAUUAGCAUGGAAUAAUGAAAUAGGACGUUCGAACCUAUUUUGUUGGUUUCUAGGAUCGACGUAAUGAUUAAUAGGGAUAGUUGGGGGCAUUAGUAUUCAAUUGUCAGAGGUGAAAUUCUUGGAUUUAUUGAAGACUAACUACUGCGAAAGCAUUUGCCAAGGAUGUUUUCAUUAAUCAAGAACGAAAGUUAGGGGAUCGAAGACGAUCAGAUACCGUUGUAGUCUUAACCAUAAACUAUGCCGACUAGGGAUCGGAUGAUGUUAAUUUUUUAAUGACUCAUUCGGCGUCUUACG